rnacentral:rRNA from 1 species
GUGAACGAUGAAGGUCUUCUGAUUGUAAAGUUCUUUUAUUUAGGAAAAAAAGCUUGAUAGGAAAUGAUUAAGCCUUGAUUGUACUAAAUGAAUAAGUGACAGCUAACUAUGUGCCAGCAGCUGCGGUAAAACAUAGGUCACGAGCAUUAUCCGGAUUUAUUGGGCGUAAAGGAAGCGUAGGCGGACAAAUUGAUCUAUUGUUAAAGGCACUUGCUCAACGAGUUGUUUGUGAUAGAUAUCGUUUGUCUAGAAUUAGUUAGGAGAUACUGGAAUUCAAUGUGUAGCGGUGGAAUGCGUAGAUAUAUUGAGGAACACCAGAGGCUAAGGCGAGUAUCUAGGACAUAAUUGACGCUGAGGCUUGAAAGCGUGGGGAGCAAAUGGGAUUAGAUACCCCAGUAGUCCACGCCGUAAACGAUGGGUAUUAGGUAUUUGGUCUAGGACUGAGUGCUGUAGCUAACGCGUUAAAUACCCCGCCUGGGUAGUAUAUAUGC